rnacentral:lncRNA from 1 species
UUAAAUAAUAAAAAUUUGUAUAUUUAUACUAUAGCUAUAGUAGAGCAUAUAUAUAUAUAUAUAACCUUUAAUUGGGUUGUUGAAACUAAUCCAUUAAGUUUCAAUUUUGUAACUUUAUGAAUCAUUAUUUCUCUGAAUUACUAUAUAUCCUUCCCUUGCUUUCAACCCAAUUGAGAAAACUCCCUUUAUAAUUUAGUGGAUAUACAAAUAAUGUAUCAAUUUAAAAUGAUCUAAAAAAAUUCUAUGUUUGUAUAAGAAGAUGAAUCAAGACAUAUUUUUCUCAAUGUAUCGAUAUUAAAU